rnacentral:rRNA from 1 species
CAGUAGCCACGGUAAUACGGAGGGAGCUAGCGUUGUUCGGAAUUACUGGGCGUAAAGCGCACGUAGGCGGUUAUUCAAGUCAGAGGUGAAAGCCCGGGGCUCAACCCCGGAACUGCCUUUGAAACUAGAUGACUAGAAUCUUGGAGAGGUCAGUGGAAUUCCGAGUGUAGAGGUGAAAUUCGUAGAUAUUCGGAAGAACACCAGUGGCGAAGGCGACUGACUGGACAAGUAUUGACGCUGAGGCGCGAAAGCGUGGGGAGCAAGCAGGAUUAGAUACCCCAGUAGUCCCUGUCUCUUAUAC